rnacentral:misc_RNA from 1 species
GAUGAAGAACGUAGUGAAAUGCGAUAAGUAAUGUGAAUUGCAGAAUUCAGUGAAUCAUCGAAUCUUUGAACGCACAUUGCGCCCAUUAGUAUUCUAGUGGGCAUGCCUGUUCGAGCGUCAUUAAGUCCACUUAAGCCCUGCUUAGUGUUGGGAGACUGCUCCAGCGGUGCUACCCUGUAGCUACCCUGCAGCUCCUCAAAGACAGCGGCGGAGUUGUGGUAUCCUCUGAGCUUAGUAACUUGUUCUAGCUUUCGAGUACACCACUUCCCCUGCCGUAAAACCCUUAAUUUUUAAUGGUUGACCUCGGAUCAGGUAGGAAUACCCGCUGAACUUAAGCAUAUCAAGCGGAGGA